GAUCGUUGGAUGAGUGUGAGGCGUUGGAUCGAUUUCAUUCAAUUUGAGCCCCACAUUCAUCAGAGGUUCGU
rnacentral:pre_miRNA from 1 species